GUGCCAGCAGCCGCGGUAACACGUAGGAGACGAGCGUUAUCCGGAUUUACUGGGUGUAAAGCGCGUGUAGGCGGUCGAGUAAGUUGGAUGUGAAAGCUCCCGGCUCAACUGGGAGAGGUCGUUCAAUACUGCUUGGCUAGAGGACAGCAGAGGGGAGUGGAAUUCCGAGUGUAGCGGUAAAAUGCAUAGAUAUUCGGAAGAACACCAGUGGCGAAGGCGGCUCUCUGGGCUGGUCCUGACGCUCAGACGCGAAAGCUAGGGUAGCAAACGGGAUUAGAGACCCCGGUAGUCCUAGCCGUAAACGAUGUGGACUUGGCGUUGGAGGGUUUAAAUCCUUCAGUGCCGCAGCAAACGCGAUAAGUCCACCACCUGGGGACUACGGCCGCAAGGUUAAA
rnacentral:rRNA from 1 species